GAGGGUAUAGCUCAGUGGUAAAGGGCAUGCCUAGCAUGCAGCAGGUCCUAGGUUCAAUCCCCAGUACCUCCA
rnacentral:tRNA from 1 species